UCCACAUGAUCGCAUGUGAUUGUGGGAAAGAUUCUAUCGGCGUGGGAUGGGGUCGCGUCCUAUCAGCUUGUUGGUGAGGUAACGGCUCACCAAGGCUUCGACGGGUAGCCGGCCUGAGAGGGCGACCGGCCACAUUGGGACUGAGAUACGGCCCAGACUCCUACGGGAGGCAGCAGUGGGGAAUAUUGCACAAUGGGCGCAAGCCUGAUGCAGCGACGCCGCGUGAGGGAUGGAGGCCUUCGGGUUGUAAACCUCUUUUGUUUGGGAGCAAGCCUUCGGUGAGUGUACCUUUCGAAUAAGCGCCGGCUAACUACGUGCCAGCAGCCGCGGUAAU
rnacentral:rRNA from 1 species